UACGAAGGGGGCUAGCGUUGCUCGGAAUCACUGGGCGUAAAGGGUGCGUAGGCGGGUCUUUAAGUCAGGGGUGAAAUCCUGGAGCUCAACUCCAGAACUGCCUUUGAUACUGAAGAUCUUGAGUUCGGGAGAGGUGGAGUGGAACUGGCGAGUGUAGAGGUGAAAUUCGUAGAUAUUCGCAAGAACACCAGUGGCGAAGGCGGCUCACUGGCCCGAUACUGACGCUGAGGCACGAAAGCGUGGGGAGCAAACAGGGA
rnacentral:rRNA from 1 species